UCUGUCAGACAACAGUGACCAUCUCAGCCAUUAGUGGACCAAGAACGAUCCUCUACAGUCUCAGCUGAAGCCCCAAAGGGGCACAUCAGACCCUUAAUCAUGCUCUGACGGUCAUGGUUCAUCAACUAGACGUAAGUCGUUAGAACUCAAGGAUACAGAGGUAUGAGCCUUUAGAACAGACCUGUUCAAGAAAGGUCGG
rnacentral:snoRNA from 1 species